GGCCAGUUAGCUCAGUUAGUUAGAGCAUGGUGCUGAUAACACCAAGGUCAUGGGUUAGAUCCCUAUUGGGUCC
rnacentral:tRNA from 1 species